GCAAAAAAAUGGAUGCUGUCGAUCGAGGGGAGGGUCGUAAUCCCACCUGGUGCUCACAUGGCAGACUUCACCACUGCCUUGGCCGCUCUCUUCGCCUGUUACUAUGUAUUCAACCUAGAGUAUCAGGUGGAAGCCAGCACAACACUGGAGUUUGUUCAGAGGUUUUUAGUCAGGAUUAAUCCUGACUCCAACAAGUGCACUGCCAAGGAGCAGAUGAGCAAGACGACUGGGAGAGUGGUGAAGCGGAAGACUUCAUACAUGAACCCCCAUGUCAUCUCCUUCAUCAGGGACUUCACGGAGUUCUAUUUGCUAACUGACUAGAUACAGGGCUCCAACUAGGAUUCUAGGUCUCCAAGGUCAGGGCAUGCAAGAGGCCAUAGUGGCAGGGGAAGUUUAUUUUCCUUUCUGUUUUAAAUGUUCAUGCAAAUGUUAAAUAUUUAAAUUUUUUUUUAAUGUUCAAUAUUUUAUUUUAUUUCAGUAUUGCCAUAGUGUUAUUUAUUACUCUUUAGAAUGUGGUAAUAAUCAGUUAUUUGCACAGCUUCAAAGUAGUUAAAUUUUUUGACCGUGUUGUAUCAAUUUGCGUUAUUGUUCUGCCAUAGCAACCAGUCAUGUGGAACUAGUGAAUGAACUAGUAACAGUUUGCUCUGUAACUUUACAAAACUUGUAAUGAAAUAGCCUCGUUUUGUAAAAUUUUCUUUAGUCAGUAAUUAAAUUUAGCAACAGUAGAAUACGCAGAUAAUAGACUUCACGCCAUUAAAAAUUACAAACACAGAAUGUUCGUUAACUUUGGAUGGCAUAAUGGCAUGUUGUCCAAUGUCAAUUAUCCCUUUAUGUUGUACCUGUUUUGUCAUUCCUGUUCACCAAAUGUUUUUAAAUAAAUAACUGUUAACAAUUUUCUUAUUGUCUGCAGUUGAUUGCAGGGUUUUAGAAUAUGGGUGAUUCUUUUAAUGAUGGCUAAUAUUAAAUCACAGUGAUACAGUAUUUAAAUUGUACAGUGAGAAACUGAAUUUACAGUGAUUAACUGUUAUCUACUGCUUAUAGUACUGUAUUGCAUACAAUACAUAAAAACAGUGCUUAACUGUUUUUUGUAUGUAAAUACAA